rnacentral:lncRNA from 1 species
CACGGACAACCCCUUGGAGCUUGGCGUCUCUCCAGAGCCACGCAGGGGCGGCGGAGUACAGCGGGAGUCUGGACACGAACCACACAUUGUGCACCACGGGACCCCACCAGCCCCGGCUCGAAGGCACAACUCUCAAGGACAUCGUAAACUGGGGCAGAGAACUUCCUAGCUUCCCACUGCUACAACAAAGAAGAAUCUCAACUGAAAAUGGAGAUGACAGCUUCCGGGAGCUGAACAACACUGUGUCGAGAUGGAGUACCCCCGACCAGACAGAGUACCCCUAACCAGACCUGGUCACAUCGACCCAUGCCACCAACCUGGCCCUCUAAUGGAAGUCCUGGGCAUCCAGACGCCUCUCCCUGCCUCUGCCUGUCCCUCCCGCCUCGAUGGGGGCGUCAAGUAGGGCACUACUCUUCUUCCCAACCAGCAGGCAUUCUCUACCCUUCUCAAACUCCAUUCCUUCUCCCCAGGCCAGCCUUUUUGGGAACAUUGCAGGCAGAUGUGUUCAGAUGAGCAUAUUCUAAUUUAUUAGCCAGGUUAAUGCUCGGCCAGAGGCCCUGGAGGAUCAAUGGUUUUAUUUCCCUAAAAUGCCCGCGUGGUGAGAGGCGGCUCACAGGGAAGUUUUAAUACCGCCAGCACCCCAGUGUGUCCCAGUGAGGACUGGGCCGUAUUGAUCGCACCACACUGAAAGUACGUGCACCUUUUGGGGAAGGAUCUAUUUGUGUCACCCUGGGCUGAGAUGAGGGCUCCGCCGGAGGAGGAGAGAGCCCAGCCAAUGGAGGAUGCCAAAAACAUCAAAACAGCCAUGUUUACAGAUUACCCAAAGGGAAAGCAAAUUACUGCAAUUAUGCAGGCUGUGGGAAUACUGAUAUCAACAUACCUGCUAUUUCUCCCAGAGACACAACUUUUAUCAGGCUGGAACACAAACAAAAACAGCACACUGUUCAUUUGAGUUGAUGGCUAAACUGCAACAAACAUGGUGUGGUUGGUUUUAACGAAGCAAAGCGCUGCACAUCAUAUGCAUAGAAAAUCAUUAGUUGGCCACUAGCUCUACCUCAAGUCACGAGCUGAUUUACUGGUGAACAUCAUUGUUAAUCCAUCUUUCUGUAUGUUGGAUAUGUUUCAACCAAUAAUGACGCAUUUAGAUACCUUUUUACUUUUAUUCCCACCUUUUACCAAACAAUGCCAACUGAUCACCUGAGAAACACCCUAACAUGCUUCCCAGAAAAUGUGACAGAUCUAUCAUUGUAAUACAUCUGUUCAUACAGAACGCAUUUCUGUUGUGGGCUGUAUGUGUGACAUAUUCAUAACACAGACCAUAAUAGUCUAUAUCCUCUUCUGUUCCCCCGAGAGACCAGAAAGGAUGUUGUCAUGUCCAAUUAUCUACACUAUAGAGGUAAAUUACAACUCAUGUCAAGUCUACAAUAUUCGCUACACACACACACACACACACACACAAAAACACACACACACACACACACACACACACACACACACACACACACACACACACACACACACACACACACACACACACACACACACACACAAACACACACACAGACGUACACUCAACAAGGCCAGGUUGCAGAGGACAACAGAUAUUAAUAUUGAUAGAAUAUUGGAAUACACAUUCUCCUGAGGUGCUCCAGGUCAUGUAUGAAUUGGACAGGCAGAUUGGAUUGGCUGUGUUUUUUCUAAAGAUAGAUUGACGUAGACGGUUUUGAGGAGCUAGACUGAUAGAUAGAAAUUGUUUGUGGAGAAACUGUUAUGUUUAUGGAUUUUUGUGAUGGAAUGUAGGGAUUUAAAUGUAUGGCAGAUCAGGAAUACAAUCUCCUCCUGAUUGUAGGUCAGAAGAAUCAAUUGAUGUGCUUCCAGGUCACCAAGUUCCCCAACAUCUAAUAUUUCAAGUUCAAGUCAACUAUCAUAACCAUGUUUUAUCUUUCAUCAUCCUGCAGGUUAGUUUGUGAUGGCUGCUGGUGGUUGUUUGGUGGGUGGACUCUAUGGAGGGUAGGGUACCUUAGCCGAGAAGAACCUAGCCCCAUCUCACCCUGAAGCGGUGCAGAGCUCCGGCCCAAUAAAGCAGGCUGCCUCCCCAGGGCCCCUCUGUCAAGCCUCCAGUCAGCGCUUGUUUUUGCACCAUUUAUUUAGUGUGACACAUCUCCAAUUAAACUGUGGAGGCUGGUGCAUUUCCCCCAUAACUACCUCUUAUUCCUCCCCAUAGACUUUCUGUCACACUGAGGAGAGAGAGAGAGAGAGAGAGAGAGAGAGGAGGGAGAGAUCACAUCUUGCCUGCUAGCUAUAUGAUGACAAUGUCAUUUUCCCCUCAGUGGUUACAAGCCUCGCCUGAAAGGUGCCUUGAAUUAUAAUUAUCAAAAUAUUGAACAAGAUUAUGAUCCUCUGAAAUGAUACUGUCACCUUAAUGUUUGCCUUGCCACCCGUCGACACUUCUAUUUCUCUUUCCUUAUUUUCCAUGGAUCAAAAGGUAUUGAAUUAACACUGAUUAGAUUAUUACAUGAAAUAUUGUAUGAGUUGUAGGUUGUAUGAUACGGAAAAUGAUAUCUUAACUUGCCAAAAACAAGUGCCAUUACUGCUACAUGUAAGUCACUCUUGCCAUACUGUAAAUAAAAACUUCCAACAAUUCACCGUUACAUUAGCAGGCUCAGACUAAACAGUGUUUAGCCUACUCAUCAAAAACACUUUGAGGGGUUACUUUCCUCCACUAUCCUAUUGUGCUCGAAAAUUUGACUGUGAUGUGUCCGUCUUGCUGAAUUUAUAAAGUGCCCAAAAGAGAUCCGACGGUAUAUGACGGGCAUAAGGAAAGUAUUCCUCCCACCCCAUCCCCUCAUCAUCUCUCUGUCCCCCGUGGCACCAGACAGUCACAGGAGUAGUGACUUUGUACGACCCCGUUCCCGUCUGCAAGUGCGCAGCUGAGGGUGGCAGUUGGCAGGGAGGGCUGGUGGGGGAGCGCCCAAAACGGUGUGUCUGCCAAGUAGAGGGGCUAGGGGGAGCCCCAGUGGCAGCUGGGAAGGGUGGGGCGGCCAGCUGUGGAGGAGCAGGAUGGUGCUGGGGUGACUGGGAGAUGCCACCAGACCUUGAGCACUGCACACAUACAUGCGUACACACACAACACACACACACACACACACACACACACACAAACAGGCUACAUGCAGAUCAUU